UUCGUGUUUGAAAGAAAUGGACUCUAGAACUUUCUGGAAAAUAACUAAAUAGAGAUCUGUCUACCUUUCUAUUUAGCUAACGACAGUUUUCUCUGCUGUUGUAGCCAUGUGGUUUAUCUGUCAAAACAGCUGGGAGCACAGACACUUUUUAAGCUGAAUCCCUCCCGUUGAACUGAGCCUGAGCUGUCCUUCCUCCGCCCAUCUACCACUUCACCACAGCUUUCAUCCUGCCUACACAGGCUCUUCCCACCCCCUGCCCCGAGGAGUUAGCUUUCUAGUUGCAUUGGAAAAUCAGAGGAGUCUGGUAAGAGAAGCCAAAAUCUGCAAGGACUGUGAAAGCUGCCUUCCUCCUGGUCUCCUACUGAUUGUCCCUUGUGUGAUGUUGCAUCUUAUGGAAUGGCAUCGUUCCUCUAUUUUCUCAACAAUCCCACCCCAGCUAACCACAGUUUUCAUCAUGGGCAUUUCACCCAUUUGCGGUUUCUUUUCCUGACUUCGUAUUAAAUCAAGAAACAACGCACUUCUCCAGGAGAAGCACAUCACCCAUUCGGAGGGUUCAGCCAGCGAAGGGGCAGCUGAAACAUCCAAUUCAGUCACAGGUCGGGCAGCGACACAACAUGGCACCCAGCCUCUUCCCUUGUGGACCUGCCUCCCCUCCGCAGCAGGGCACCGACCCGGGCCCACCCCAAGGACUGGUGGUGGGUGGCAUUGGGAAGGCACGGGCUGGGGGUGCAGGGAGAAAGGGGCAGCCAGGCCUGCCCCGGGGCUGCCCUCGCCUAGCCCUACGGUGCCACCGCAGGGCCUAGGGGGCCCUGUCCCCUCGCCAGCGCCAGCCAGGCCUUCACGGCGCCGUUCUCACAGCAGAUUUUAGAAAACAUUCCCUUACAAUAUAAUAAAAAUAUAAGCACAAUAAAAGUUACACGCCAGUCCGCCCCGCGACAGACCCGUCCUGCAACACACGCGAAGGCCAUCAGG